AUGCAGAGGAAACAAGCAGAGAAGAAUGCAGCUUGCACAAUCAUCCCAGCAGAAGGAGUCUGAGAUGAAGAACUAGAGAAGCUGCCACAUCUGCUUGGAGAACAAAUAAGGAACUGCAACAUUCCCAAAGAGCAAAGCCUUGCCGUACAAUAUCAUCAAAUCAUCACUUGCAAGUGAAAAGCUAAGUGUCACCCUGUUCAAGAGGAAAGCUGUGGAAAGUCAACAAGCACAACCAAUGAUUACUUAUUAGUUUUAUUCAUUAUCUUUUAUCGUAAUUUUCAAUUUUUCGUUUGCAAUUUUUUUUUUUUUUAAUUAAUUUUCUUGCGUUACUUAACUGAAUUACUUCUUUUCUUUGCAGGAACUUUUGGUUAUUUCCACCCUUGAAGUUGAUUGCAGAAUUUUAGCUUGGGGGUCAUCGCUUGAUUUUACUGCAAAUUAGGGAAGUUUUCAGUCUAAUUGCUUUAUUUUGUUUCUUAUUAUUUAUUUAUUUUAUUUUAUUUUUAUUUGCGUUAUAGUGUUUUCUGACAUUGGGGACAAUGUCAAGUUUAAGUGUGGGGGUAGAAAUCUCCAGAAUUUCAUUUGUUUCUGUUGUUGUUUUUUUGUGUUCUUAAUUAGUUUUGUUUUCUUUUAAAAAAAAAAAAAAAAAAAAAAAAAAAUUAAAUUUAAAAAAAAAAAAAAAAAAAAAAAAUCGGAAAAUUUAAAAAAAUCCAAAAAUAUUGUCUUGUUUCCCUUAUUGUUUUGAAUUAGAUUUUUUGUUAGUUUCCCUACCCA
rnacentral:lncRNA from 1 species